rnacentral:lncRNA from 11 species
GAUGAUGAUGAUUUUUUUUGUGUCAGGAGCAACUUGAGAAACUGCAAGUCGCUUCUGGUGUGAAAGAAUUGGCCAUCUGCAAGGACGCUGCCCAGGGUCGCCCGGAUGUUUGAUGUUUUACCAUAUUGUGGGAGGCUUCUUUCAUGUCUCUGCAUGGAAAAAGUAGGAGAAAAGGACAGCCUCUUCUCUGAUAUCAACAGCAUGCCAUCUUAUUGCACCAG